rnacentral:rRNA from 1 species
GAUGAACGCUGGCGGCGUGCCUAAUACAUGCAAGUCGAGCGAACAGACGAGGAGCUUGCUCCUCUGACGUUAGCGGCGGACGGGUGAGUAACCCGUGGAUAACCUACCUAUAAGACUGGGAUAACUUCGGGAAACCGGAGCUAAUACCGGAUAAUAUAUUGAACCGCAUGGUUCAAUAGUGAAACACGGUUUUGCUGUCACUUAUAGAUGGAUCCGCGCCGCAUUAGCUAGUUGGUAAGGUAACGGCAUACCAAGGCAACGAUGCGUAGCCGACCUGAGAGGGUGAACGGCCACACUGGAACUGAGACACGGGCCAGACUCCUACGGGAGGCAGCAGUAGGGAAUCUUCCGCAAUGGGCGAAAGCUUGACGGAGCAACGCCGCGUGAGUGAUGAAGGUCUUCGGAUCGUAAAACUCUGUUAUUAGGGAAGAACAAAUGUGUAAGUAACUAUGCACGUCUUGACGGUACCUAAUCAGAAAGCCACGGCUAACUACGUG